rnacentral:tRNA from 1 species
UGGGUACAUAAGAUAAUGGCUAGUCCGCAAGUCUCCAAAACUUGCUGUGGGGGUUCAAAUCCCUCUGUACCUGU